rnacentral:rRNA from 1 species
CAGUCGCCGCGGGAAUACGGAGGGUGCAAGCGUUAAUCGGAAUUACUGGGCGUAAAGCGUGCGUAGGCGGUUCGUUAAGUCUGUUGUGAAGGCCCCGGGCUCAACCUGGGAAUGGCAAUGGAUACUGGCGAGCUAGAGUGUGUCAGAGGAUGGUGGAAUUCCCGGUGUAGCGGUGAAAUGCGUAGAGAUCGGGAGGAACAUCAGUGGCGAAGGCGGCCAUCUGGGACAACACUGACGCUGAGGCACGAAAGCGUGGGGAGCAAACAGGAUUAGAUACCCCCGUAGUCCCUGUCUCUUAUAC